rnacentral:rRNA from 1 species
AUACGAAAGGUGCAAGCGUUGUUCGGAUUUACUGGGCGUAAAGAGAUCGUAGGUGGUUUGUUAAGUUGGAUGUGAAAUCCCGGGGCUCAACCUCGGAACUGCAUCCAAAACUGGCGGACUUGAGUUCGGGAGGGGUAAGCGGAAUUCCGUGUGUAGCAGUGAAAUGCGUAGAUAUACGGAGGAACACCUGAGGCGAAGGCGGCUUACUGGACCGAUACUGACACUGAGGAUCGAAAGCGUGGGUAGCAAACAGGAUUAGAAACCCUAGUAGUCC